CUCCUACGGGAGGCAGCAGUCGGGAAUUUUGGGCAAUGGGCGAAAGCCUGACCCAGCAACGCCGCGUGAAGGAUGAAGUUUUUCGGAAUGUAAACUUCGUAAGAAUAGGAAGAAUAAAUGACGGUACUAUUUGUAAGGUCCGGCUAACUACGUGCCAGCAGCCGCGGUAAUACGUAGGGACCAAGCGUUGUUCGGAUUUACUGGGCGUAAAGGGCGCGUAGGCGGCAAUUCAAGUCAGCUGUGAAAUCUCCGGGCUUAACUCGGAACGGUCAGCUGAUACUGUUUUGCUAGAGUGUAGAAGGGGCAAUCGGAAUUCUUGGUGUAGCGGUGAAAUGCGUAGAUAUCAAGAGGAACACCAGAGGUGAAGACGGGUUGCUGGGCUGACACUGACGCUGAGGCGCGAAAGCUAGGGUAGCAAACGGGAUUAGAUACCCCGGUAGUC
rnacentral:rRNA from 1 species